ACGUGCCACGCGGGCGCGCCGGUUUUUUGGAUACCCUCCGCUUCCACCUGAGCAUUGUUCGCGACGUUUUGCCAGCC
rnacentral:sRNA from 1 species